rfam:Hordeum vulgare subsp. vulgare, WGS project CAJW01000000 data, contig: morex_contig_1570494
GUAGUACUCCCUCCGUCCUAAAAUUAUUGUCUUAUGUUUUUUAAAAUGAAUGUAUCUAAAUACUAAAACGUGACUAAAUACAUUCAUAUAUAAAUAAAUCUAAGACAAGAAUUUUGGCACGGAGAGAGUAUAAU